rnacentral:rRNA from 1 species
UAGCUAGUUGGUGAGGUAAAGGCUUACCAAGGCGACGAUCUGUAGCGGGUCUGAGAGGAUGAUCCGCCACACUGGAACUGAGACACGGUCCAGACUCCUACGGGAGGCAGCAGUGGGGAAUUUUGGACAAUGGGGGCAACCCUGAUCCAGCCAUGCCGCGUGAGUGAAGAAGGCCUUCGGGUUGUAAAGCUCUUUCGGCCGGGAAGAAAUCGCAUGGGCCAAUACCCUGUGUGGAUGACGGUACCGGAAUAAGAAGCACCGGCUAACUACGUGCCAGCAGCCGCGGUAAUACGUAGGGUGCGAGCGUUAAUCGGAAUUACUGGGCGUAAAGCGUGCGCAGGCGGUUUUGUAAGACAGGCGUGAAAUCCCCGGGCUUAACCUGGGAACUGCGUUUGUGACUGCAAGGCUAGAGUACGGCAGAGGGGGGUGGAAUUCCACGUGUAGCAGUGAAAUGCGUAGAGAUGUGGAGGAACACCAAUGGCGAAGGCAGCCCCCUGGGUCGAUACUGACGCUCAUGCACGAAAGCGUGGGUAGCAAACAGGAUUAGAUACCCUGGUAGUCCACGCCCUAAACUAUGUCAACUAGGUGUUGGGUGGGUAAAACCAUUUAGUACCGUAGCUAACGCGUGAAGUUGACCGCCUGGGGAGUACGGCCGCAAGGUUAAAACUCAAAGGAAUUGACGGGGACCCGCACAAGCGGUGGAUGAUGUGGAUUAAUUCGAUGCAACGCGAAAAACCUUACCUACCCUUGACAUGCCAGGAACUUGCCAGAGAUGGCUUGGUGCCCGAAAGGGAGCCUGGACACAGGUGCUGCAUGGCUGUCGUCAGCUCGUGUCGUGAGAUGUUGGGUUAAGUCCCGCAACGAGCGCAACCCUUGUCGUUAAUUGCCAUCAUUUAGUUGGGCACUUUAACGAGACUGCCGGUGACAAACCGGAGGAAGGUGGGGAUGACGUCAAGUCCUCAUGGCCCUUAUGGGUAGGGCUUCACACGUCAUACAAUGGUCGGUACAAAGGGUUGCCAAGCCGCGAGGCGGAGCCAAUCCCAGAAAGCCGAUCGUAGUCCGGAUUGCAGGCUGCAACUCGCCUGCAUGAAGUCGGAAUCGCUAGUAAUCGUGGAUCAGCAUGUCACGGUGAAUACGUUCCCGGGUCUUGUACACACCGCCCGCCACACCAUGGGAGCGGGUUCCGCCAGAAGUAGGUAGCCUAACCGCAAGGGGGGCGCUUACCACGGCGGGGUUCGUGACUGGGGUGAAGUCGGAACAAGGUAGCCGUAGGGGAACCUGCGGCUG